CAGUGCACAGUUAACCUACGAAAUUUGCUUCCACAAGGCAUAGUGAUGGUCAACAACUUGAGUGCCUUUAAAAGAGGAUUGGACAAACUGAUGGAGGAGAGAGCCACCAACGGCUACUGGCCAUGACGGCUGUACUCCAAAUUCAGAGGCAGUAUGCCCCUGAAUGCCAGCUGCUGGGAGGCACAAGAUGGGGGAGUUGCUGUUGCACUCAGGUCCAGGAGAUCCUGGCCUUUGGUUCAAAUAGUGCAAUGACUUUUCUAUCCACUUUCUCCACGCCAGGCACCAUUUUAUGGUAAAGCAGUGUUCAUGCAAAGAGACCACCCUGUUGCACUUCCGACAGCUCAGGGAAGCAAGCUGAUAUUUCUCUCCUGCCCCUCUUUAUUUCUCUCCGUCAUCCUUCAAUUAAUGCAUUUGCCUCGCCUGUCUGGCCUGACAAGAGGGCCAAAGAAAUGCAAGCCCCCAAAGGCCGCUCCCCAUCUGAGAUGUUUUGAUAGGCUGUGACAUUUUCAAAACAGGCUGUCUGCUGCACAAGGGCCCUUGACAAUAUCCGGAAAGAGAAAGCAAUUCAGAGUACAAAGACGGGUAUCGAUUCAGGCCGGGAAGUAAACUGGAUCUUUCCAAAAUAGCUUGGCAGGGCCUCUUGCCUGCCCUCUGCCCUCAACACAAAGGGUUUUUUGGGUGAGCAGAGUCAAGGUUGGGAAAUGAAAGACAGGCCUUCGCUUUUGAGGUCUCCCCUCAGGUCGGGGUCCCUUGCCAAUCCGGUGCCCCAGCCCACUCUAGCACACACACAAACACACAGGUCACAGCUUACCAAACCCCUGCAUAGAUUCAUCCAAAAUCAUCCUCAUCCAAAUCCAUCUGAGACAGCUUUAAUGAGGGUCAAAAUUGCAGGGAGCAUUUGCUACAGUAGAAAAGGGCAAAUGUCAUCCUAAGAAAGGCAUUGAGAAAUAAACCAGCACACAUAAUAAAGCCUUUGUCUUUAAUCUGUGGUAUGGUUGUGCUUCAGACACUAAAUAAAGCUCUCCUUGCUCCACUGAAAGAACAGAAUUCUUACAGAGCUGGAAAAGGCUUUAUUAGCCAUCAAUCAGCAAAGCGAGAACAUAAGACCAGUGGUCCAUCUACUCCAGCAGCCUUGUCUUCACGGUGGUCAACCACAUGCCUAUCAUGGGAAACCUGCAAGCAGGACCCAAGGGCAAGAACACUCUCCCCUCCUGUGGCUUCCAGCAAUUUUGCUGCCUCUGACAAUGAGGUAGAGCAUAGCCAUUGUGGCUAACAACCAUUGGUAACCUUCUCUGACUCCAUGAAUUUAAUUGUCUUUUAAAACCAUCCACGUUGGUGGCUGUUACUGCCUCCUGUAGGAGAGAGCUCCACAGUUUAACCAUGUGCUGAGUGAAGAAGCACUUUCUUUUAUCUGUGGUUUAAAACUUCAAAAUAAACAUUGUGGGGUUGGGAAAGGGCUGUAGCUCAGUAGAUCCUCUGGUUUGCAUGCAGAAGGGUCCCAGGUUAAAUCCCCAAUGGGAUCUCCAGGUAGGUCAGGAAACAUCCCUUAUCUAAAACCCCACAAAGCCAAUUACUGUAGACAGUACUGACCUAAACUGACCAGUAAUUAUUGUAUUGCCAACAGGGCUGACAUUGCUAUUUUAUUCUUUCUGCUUCUUGCGCCUGGAAAGAUUCUUUGGUCUGACAAGCACUAAUAAAAAAUGAAACAGGGGAAUCCCCACUUGCAUGCUCCCAUUUACACUUACACUUACAUUUACACUUACAUUUACACUUGCGUAGGAAGCAUCGCGGGUGGCACUGUGGGUUAAACCACAGAGUCUAGGGCUUGCUGAUCAGAAGGUUGGCGAUUCGAAUCCCUGCAAUGGAGUGAGCCCCCGUUGCUCGGUCCCAACUCCUGCCAACCUAGCAGUUCGAAAGCACACCAAAAAGUGAAAGUAGAUAAAUGGGUACCACUCCAGCGGAAAGGUAAACGGCGUUUCCAUGUGCUGCACUGGUUCGCCAGAAGCGGCUUAGUCAUGCUGGCCACAUGACCCGGAAGCUGUAUGCCGGCUCCCUCGGCCAGUAAAGCAAGAUGAGCACCGCAGCCCUAGAGUCGGCCACGACUGGACCUUUACCUUGACCUUUAGGAAGCAUUGCCAAAAACGGACAGGGGUGGAAUGGGAUGGGGCAGGGGCAGACCAGGGGAAUCCCCACUUAUGUACAUUGUGAUGAUAUGUGCAGUGGUCUGGAAUGGAUCCCUCAUGUAAGUGGGGAUUCUGCUGUAUCUCACAAGGGAGCGGCUGAAAGAAUGUGGUUGGCCAAGGGAGCCGUGGACUCAAAAAGGAUGAAAACCACUAUGUUAAAGGGAUCCUGGAGGUGGUGCUCCUGUCUGGAGUACCUAGUUGAUGUCUAUUAUAGGACUCCCUCACCACUGGUUCGACUCAUUGGAGAAUCAAAGAGUAGGUGGGCUUGUUGAAACAGGUUAUAUGCCUAAGCCAAAACCACUUCCUUCUAUAAUCAAUAAAGUUGUGGCCUAAUUUGAACCGAAGAACAUUGUAGUAAGUGGUAUUUUCAAUACAUGUUGCAGUGUCUGGGCACACACAGCGCAGCUCUUUUGCACUCUCAGGCCCUUUGCUAGGAAAGACCGGGUAGCCCAACCCCUCCCACCCCCAAACCCAAGAUAAUUUCCAGACACGUAUUUCCACAAUGAAGACAAAUGAAGGUGUUUUCGUCUGCUGGCGCACCAGUAUUGUUCAGCUCUGCCAGUAACGGGGUGAAAAUGAGAUGCUGCAGCAGCAGACACCUGCUGAUUUACAGGCCAAAUGCUGCAUUUUGCAAACAGAUGGGCACUGGGUGGGUGGGGGAAGGAAAAAAAAACACCUUGCAUGUUGAACUUUAGCGUAGGCAGAGAAGGAAUGUAAAGAAACAGAUCUAUUUAGGAGCAGGAAUCUCUGAUUAUGCAGUUAUUUAUCAGUAUUCAAAGCAAUAAUAAUAAUAAUAUUCCCACAUGUGCCUAAAGUGAUCCAGAUAUUAUUUUCAGAAAGGGCAUUCACUGCUACAGCUGUAUGAACAAUUUGAAUUAAGGCUUAAUUAUUCUAAUUACUUAAACCAAUCUCAGUGCAUUAUUUAUCUUCAGAUUUUGCAGUAUAUUUUUUGUUUGUUUUCAUGUGCAUCGUGAUCUAGUGCAUAUUGUUUGCAGUUUGUUUCGUCUGUUGUAUUCUUUUAUGAUUUUGUAUGUUACUUUAUUAUGAACGUUCCAGUUUUGGCAUUUUAUACCUCCUGCUUUGGAAAUGUGAUUUCAUUGCACUUGUUGUUGAGAUUUAAUUAAAAAUAUUUUU